UGGGGAAUUUUGGACAAUGGGCGCAAGCCUGAUCCAGCAAUGCCGCGUGCAGGAAGAAGGCCUUCGGGUUGUAAAGCCCUUUCGUUGGGGACGAUGAUGACGGUACCCAAAGAAGAAGCCCCGGCUAACUUCGUGCCAGCAGCCGCGGUAAUACGAAGGGGGCUAGCGUUGCUCGGAAUGACUGGGCGUAAAGGGCGCGUAGGCGGCACAACUAGUCAGGCGUGAAAUUCCUGGGCUUAACCUGGGGGCUGCGUUUGAUACGGUUGGGCUAGAGGAUGGAAGAGGCUCGUGGAAUUCCCAGUGUAGAGGUGAAAUUCGUAGAUAUUGGGAAGAACACCGGUGGCGAAGGCGGCGAGCUGGUCCAUUACUGACGCUGAGGCGCGAAAGCGCGGGGAGCAAACAGG
rnacentral:rRNA from 1 species